rnacentral:rRNA from 1 species
AGUGAACGCUGGCGGCAGGCCUAAUACAUGCAAGUCGAACGGCAGCACAGCAGAGCUUGCUCUGUGGGUGGCGAGUGGCGGACGGGUGAGGAAUACAUGGGAAUCUGCCCAGUCGUGGGGGAUAACGUAUGGAAACGUACGCUAAUACCGCAUGCGCCCUUUGGGGGAAAGCCGGGGACCUUCGGGCCUGGCGCGAUUGGAUGAGCCCAUGUUCGAUUAGCUAGUUGGCGGGGUAAAGGCCCACCAAGGCGACGAUCGAUAGCUGGUCUGAGAGGAUGAUCAGCCACACUGGGACUGAGACACGGCCCAGACUCCUACGGGAGGCAGCAGUAGGGAAUAUUGGACAAUGGGCGCAAGCCUGAUCCAGCCAUGCCGCGUGAGUGAAGAAGGCCCUCGGGUUGUAAGGCUCUUUUGUCCGGAAAGAAAAGCAUUCGGUUAAUACCCGGGUGUUCUGACGGUACCGGAAGAAUAAGCACCGGCUAACUUCGUG